rnacentral:rRNA from 1 species
GACGAACGCUGGCGGCGUGCUUAACACAUGCAAGUCGAACGGAAAGGCCCUGCUUUUGUGGGGGGCUCGAGUGGCGAACGGGUGAGUAUCACGUGAGUAACCUGCCAACGACUUUGGGCUAACUUCAGGACACUGGGGGUAAUGCCGGAUAAGGGCGCAUGCUGCCUGGUGGGGGUUGGCAAGUUUCGGCGGUUGGGGAUGGACUAGAGGCUUAUCAGCCUGUAGUUGGGGUAGUGGCCGACCAAGGCGUUGACGGGUAGCCGGCCUGAGAGGGUGACCGGCCGCAAUGGGACUGAGGUACGGCCCAGACGACUACGGGAGGCAGCAGUAGGGAAGAAUGCACAAUGGUCGGAAGCCGGAUGCAGCAACGCCGCGGGGUGGAGGUAGGCCGUCUAGGUGUAAUCCGCUUUCGCCUGUGAAGAAGCGGGAGUGACGGUAAUGGGUAAAGAAGCACCGGCUAACUACGUG